AUACGUAGGUGGCAAGCGUUGUCCGGAAUUAUUGGGCGUAAAGCGCGCGCAGGCGGUCCUUUAAGUCUGAUGUGAAAGCCCACGGCUCAACCGUGGAGGGUCAUUGGAAACUGGGGGACUUGAGUGCAGGAGAGAAGAGUGGAAUUCCACGUGUAGCGGUGAAAUGCGUAGAGAUGUGGAGGAACACCAGUGGCGAAGGCGACUCUUUGGCCUGUAACUGACGCUGAGGCGCGAAAGCGUGGGGAGCAAACAGGAUUAGAUACCCUGGUAGUCCACGCCGUAAACGAUGAGUGCUAAGUGUUAGAGGGUUUCCGCCCUUUAGUGCUGCAGCAAACGCAUUAAGCACUCCGCCUGGGGAGUACGGCCGCAAGGCUGAA
rnacentral:rRNA from 1 species